CCUACGGGUGGCAGCAGUGGGGAAUAUUGCACAAUGGGGGAAACCCUGAUGCAGCGACGCCGCGUGAGUGAAGAAGUAUUUCGGUAUGUAAAGCUCUAUCAGCAGGGAAGAUGAUGACGGUACCUGUCUAAGAGGCCCCGGCUAACUACGUGCCAGCAGCCGCGGUAAUACGUAGGGGGCGAGCGUUAUCUGGUUUUACUGGGUGUAAAGGUAGCGUAGGUGGCAGGGCAAGUCAGAUGUGAAGACCCGGGGCUCAACCCCGGGAGUGCAUUUGAAACUGGCCAGCUGGAGUGCAGGAGAGGUAAGCAGAAUUCCUAGUGUAGCGGUGAAAUGCAUAGAUAUUAGGAGGAAUACCAGUGGCGAAGGCAGCUUCCUGGACUUUAACUGACACUGAGGCUCGAAAGCGUGGGGAGCAAACAGGAUUAGAUACCCCAGUAGUC
rnacentral:rRNA from 1 species